GGCGCUUCUUUUUCCUCCUCAACUCUCGCCAUGUCAGUUUUAUCAUUGCCUCGCCGCCCAGAAACUGCUCCGAAGCAGGUUUCUUGCCAUCUCCAUUUCACCCUCUUGCUUUAGACUAAAGCCAGAGAAAUAGCAGCUACCAUAUAUAUACUUAUUAGGGUUUUGCAGAAAAAGUUGUCCUUAGUCUGAUGGGAGACAAAAAGGUUUUUGUUCCAAUGGAGAAUAUAAUGGACCAUUUAAAACUAGCUGAGUUAAAGAAAGAGAAUCUGCGCGAAUCUUUUGAUCAAGCACAUGCACAAGCGUCUUCUAUUCUCUUGUUUACUCUCCAAUGGAAAGAUUUAGAAGACCAGUUUGAUUCGUUAAAGAAUUCUUUACUAAAGCAAGCACAAGAAGUGGAUUUGGAAAAGGAAAAAUUAAUGGAAAACACCCAAGUGCUCGAACAACGUGAUCAAGAGGUUGAAAUUAAGUUUAAAUGGGUCAAUGAACGCUUGGAUGAGCUUCAAAUGAAGGAAAAACAAUUGGAUUUGAUUAAAAAGUUGAUUCAGGAGUGCACUUUGGAGCUUAGUUUAAAAGAAAAUCAAUUGAAUUUGGCUCGAAAAGAGGUCGAGGAUUGUAAUGGGAAGGUUAGUAUGAAAAAAGAGCAACUGGGAUUGGUGCAAAAGGAGCUUGAUGAGUGUAAUGAGGAGCUUAGUGUGAAAAAGAAGCAAUUAGUUACAGUUCAAAAAUCAAUAGUGGAACUUACUGGGGAGCUUGAAUUGAAGGAGAUGAAUUUAGGUUUGGUUAAAAUGAAGGUUGAGGAGUGUUGCAAGGAACUUUAUGCAAAAGAUCAGCAAUUGGGAUCAGUGCAGAAGUCACUUCACGAAUGUUCCAAGGAGCUUGAAACAAAAGAGAGUGAUUUAGAGAAGGUGAAAAUUUUGACUACAGAUUGUAAUGAUGAACUUGAGCUGAAAGAGAGGGAGUUGGAUGCAUUAAAGAACUUGAUUAGUGAUUGUAAGUGUGAGCUCAAGUUGAAUGAGAAGCAGUUGGGAAUGCUGCAGGAAUUGACUGAGAAAUGUUCUGGCAAACUUGACUUGAAAGAGAGUCAAGUGGGUCAAAUUCAAAAAUCAAUUGAUCAGUGCCUGAUGGAGCUUGAUUUGAAAAAGAAGGAACUUGAUGCAACCCAAAAAAUGACCAAGGAAUGCCAGAAAGAGGUUAACUUGAAAAUGAAGGAACUGAGCAGAGUCCAGAUAUUGAUUAAGGACAGGUUGGACGAUCUUCAUUCAAAAGAGAAUCAUCUUGAUUCCAUCAAAGCGUUGAUUGAAGAAAACACUGAAGAACUUGAAGCUAAAGAGCAACAAUAUGAUGCAAUAAAUAAGUCUAUCAAUGAGUGUUCUGCAAAG
rnacentral:misc_RNA from 1 species